GGGCGCAGCUGGUAGCGGCUCUGCCGAUCCUGGGCAAUGGCAUGCAGAGGGUCAGGGGUUCGAGUCCCCUCAGCUCCA
rnacentral:tRNA from 1 species